ACAAAACCUUAAACGAAACUGAGCAGAUCUGAGAAAAUGAAAGAUAAGACAGAGAGAGGGAAGAAAAUCAGGAAACCCUAAACCCUCAGAACGAAGCCUCAGAUCUAUGACAAAGAAGAAACGCUCCCCGGGCCGCAUAAUGGCAUUGGCUCUGUGAUCGGAACCUUCGUUGGAGAUCAGAGACAUGAGCAUGAAGAAAGGCGACGAGGCAAGAAAAGCUCUUUAACUCCUCGAUGGCGGCCAUGGUUCAAGAACUUGCAGUUGAAAUCGGGCAGUAUUUAACACCGACACCAGAGAUCUGAUGGGGCAAGGUAUGGGGGUUCCAGGACCCGUCAAAGUUGAUUUUGGAAUUUAGGGUUUACUUAGGCUAUGGUUUAGCGAGAUCAUUGAUUUUGAUUUGAUGGAGCGAUAGGCCUGAGGCAUUGUCAGUCUUUAAUUCAAUGCAUUAAUGCGUUUGCUGUUUGCUUCCAUUUCAGUUACACUCCAUGGCAGCUUGCUCAAGAUGUGAUGUGGAUUGAUAGAGGCACUGACAGCGGGUCUUCCAUAUCUUUUAAGGUUUUACUCCUUACUCAUUCAAGCAUGUAGAUGUUUUUUCUUUUGUUAAUUAUCUUUUUCUGUUUUUUUUUAAGCGGAUACAAAAUGAACAAAAAUAAGUUUUCAGAGUCAAAUAGCAUAAUAUUGUUGAAAACGUGAACAAUUCAUCUGACAAAAACAAAAUUGGCACACACGAAUGAUCGAAUGGGUGAGCUUUGAAAUAGCAUAUUUUUGUUGAAUAAUGUAUCAGCUAGAGGCUUGAUAUUGGGGAGUGGGGAUGGUAUCUUACAUAUAGAAUCAGGAACAUUGUGCCAUUACAUCAUUGAUACACAGUUGUGUGGUGAAUUUAAAAGUAAUCAUUUGUAGCAAAAUCGGAUGGUCUAAUAAGCAUGCACAGCUUUUAUAUUCGACCACUUAAUGUUUAGAUGAUGGUGCUUCUCUAACUUUGAAUGUAACAUGAAGUGAAAGACAUUAGAACGUGAAAAAUCAUAAAUGGGUUAGUUCAUUAUUCAAACUCACUGUUCUAGGCAAUGUCAUUCUUAACUUUUCAAGUUAGGAUGAGAAUGGAGAGGAGUCUUUGAAGUUCUCCGUAUUUUCUUUUGCAUCUAUACACCCAAGCAAUGUUUAUGGGUUAUUAGCAUGGAAAUAAAAUUUGGUGGAGUAAAUUUCAUGGUGCUAAAUUUUAUCUGGCCACAUUGUCAAAUAUCUACCGAGGAUAGAUUGGCAGUUAUAAUUUUAGGAAGUGUUUCAGGUUUCUAUACUCAUUUACUAGAAGAGAAGUCUACUCUCUCUCUCUCUCUCUCUCUCUCUCUCUCUCUCUCUCUCUCUCUCUCUGUGUUCUGUUAUAUUUCCUAGUUGGUACACAUCAAUCUUAAUUGGAUAUAGUAUCUCAUCAUAACUGUAUAUCAUUCAUUUUUUAUUAUCUAUUGACAUUUACCUUUGGAUUGGGUAAAAGUUGGAAGAUAUAAUAAUUUCUGUUUUAUUUUUAUUUCCGUGUAUUAGCAGUUAUUUAUUUUGGUAGUUCAUUUUUGUUUAAAAUGAAAGUUAUGAAUAUACAAAUGUAGUAAUAGAGUAUUUUAAAAUGUUUCUUCAGUAUGUUGUGCUCUGGUUUGUGAUCAUUAACAUUUGGUGGUUAUCCUUAUCCUACACCAAAUGUUCUUCCUAUAAGUUGCAACCUCUUGCAUUUAAAAUAAAAGAACCUGUUGUUCUUUGUUCCUUUUUGGUUAUUGACAUAGCGAACAUUACUUCCUAAGAUUCCCAUUUGUUGCAUUUUAACUCUUCGUCCAAAGAGUUUUGUCUACUUUUUGAAGACAUUAUUCGUUUCUGAAAUGCCAGCUGGAGUCUGUUACUGUUAGCCUUUUAUUUUGUAGGUAAUUUUUGAGGGUUAAUGUUUCUUCGAGAGACAGGCAAGAAGUUUCAUGAUGUUUUUUCUUAGUUUGUUUGUUGGCGUGACACUUUUCUUAUGUUUGUUUGCUGUGUUGUACACUUGCACAUUCAUUAUGUUCCUGAGUUAUGUGCUUCGGUUCAACUACCAUCUGGUUUAUUUCAGUCUUAUUUCAAUUGUUAUUAAUUCUGAUGGUUAUAAUUUAUUAAUUGUUUUAACUGUUUUUUUUCCCCAGGAUAUCUGAAACCAGAAGCUAGCAGGACUUCGCCUCAAACUUCCUUUUGUUUUGUUUUUUUGACAAAUUUGAUCUCAUUUCAAUCAAAAGAAGUCUGUAAUAUAAUUUCUUUUUUUUUUGGGGUAAAAAUAAAUUCUUUUAUUUUAGUGCCGCGGAUUGUAAUUAGGCUGCAUUGUAAUUAUUCUUUGUAUGCAUGGUUUUCUUGUUCUUCCGUGGGCCGCUCGGAAAUAAAAUAGGCCCUAAGAUUUG
rnacentral:lncRNA from 1 species